GGUGGAGAAUUUGGGGUGAGGAACUUGUGAAAGUCUUCAGUCAAAUUCUUCAAACGGUAAAGAUCAAAGUCGUCAACAUACAGUUGAGGAAAUGAAAGGGUUGAGGAAUUAGAACCAGGUGCUCGAUGAAGACAAUGGUUUGAUGACCCAGUUCCAACUGUUGUGACAGUCGUACGUCUAGUUUGGAGAGACUUGGUAUUUAAACCAAAGGACACACGGUCCGAGGACACUAAGUCCUCACUGUAUUCUCCUUGAGCUAAGGAUACACAGUCCUCGCCCAACACUCGUGGUAAGUGAAAGGACGUGGAUGUCGCCUAGAGGGGGGUGAAUAGGCGCUUCAAAAUAUUUACGAUUUAGGCUUGAAC
rnacentral:lncRNA from 1 species